UGUCAAGUCUGCUGCUAAGCACCAGAGAUCCGAGAUGUCCAGCGCCACAGGUUUACCUCCACGCCACAAACUCUGCUCAGUCUCGGUAUGCACUUCUCCUCGAGGUUGGAGCUGCCUCUGGUUUCUACCGCCCUCUGGUGGAGCUGACAGCACCGUCGCUGAUCGCUGACACUUGGUUUUAACUUUUAUUUUGCACGGUACGAAGGGCACCUCCCGCAUUGGACGUGUCAAUCAGCAGUCACUGAGAGACCUGGUCUCCAUCUCUCGCCAGCUACUGAACAAAACCCACUCAACCUAAUGCUACUGUAACACCAAAUGCACUCUGACAAGACUUCAAAGAUACUUUUAUGUGUUUUUGCACUAAGAGUUACAUGUGGGGUCUCUGUCUGUUCUCUGCACCUAAUGACUGAAAUGUCGAAAGCUAAAGCAGGCAAGGAAUUUUUUGUCUGCAUCUUGUCAUCCAGACACUCAAAUGGGAAGCAAAUAAAUGCAACAAACACUUGAAAUCAAUUUAAAUAGAUGCUUAAUCCGAAU